AACUAACAAGGAUUCCCCUAGUAACUGCGAGUGAAGCGGGAAAAGCUCAAAUUUAAAAUCUGUCAGUCUUUGGCUGUCCGAGUUGUAAUCUAGAGAAGUGUUAUCCGCGCUGGACCGUGUACAAGUCUCCUGGAAUGGAGCGUCAUAGAGGGUGAGAAUCCCGUCUUUGACACGGACUGCCAGGGCUUUUGUGAUGCGCUCUCAAAGAGUCGAGUUGUUUGGGAAUGCAGCUCAAAAUGGGUGGUAAAUUCCAUCUAAAGCUAAAUAUUGGCGAGAGACCGAUAGCGAACAAGUACCGUGAGGGAAAGAUGAAAAGAACUUUGGAAAGAGAGUUAAACAGUACGUGAAAUUGCUGAAAGGGAAACGCUUGAAGUCAGUCGCGUCAUUCAGGGAUCAACCUUGCUUUUGCUUGGUGUACUUUCUGGUUGACGGGUCAACAUCAAUUUUGACCAUUGGAAAAAGAUUAAGGGAAUGUGGCAUACAUAGUGAUGUGUUAUAGCCCUUGGUUGCAUACAAUGGUUGGGAUUGAGGUACUCAGCACGCCGCAAGGCCAGGUUUACCAUGUACGUGCUUAGGAUGUUGGCAUAAUGGCUUUAAUCGACCCGUCUUGAAACACGGACCAAGGAGUCUAACAUGCCUGCGAGUGUUUGGGUGGAAAACCCGAGCGCGUAAUGAAAGUGAAAGUUGAGAUCCUUGUCAUGGGGAGCAUCGACGCCCGGACCAGACCUUUUGUGACGGUUCCGCGGUAGAGCAUGUAUGUUGGGACCCGAAAGAUGGUGAACUAUGCCUGAAUAGGGUGAAGCCAGAGGAAACUCUGGUGGAGGCUCGUAGCGAUUCUGACGUGCAAAUCGAUCGUCAAAUUUGGGUAUAGGGGCGAAAGACUAAUCGA
rnacentral:rRNA from 1 species